CAGCAGCCACGGUAAUACGGAGGGUGCAAGCGUUAAUCGGAAUUACUGGGCGUAAAGCGCACGCAGGCGGUCUGACAAGUCAGAUGUGAAAUCCCCGGGCUUAACCUGGGAACUGCAUUUGAAACUGUCAGGCUGGAGUCUUGUAGAGGGGGGUGGAAUUCCAGGUGUAGCGGUGAAAUGCGUAGAGAUCUGGAGGAAUACCGGUGGCGAAGGCGGCCCCCUGGACAAAGACUGACGCUCAGGUGCGAAAGCGUGGGGAGCAAACAGGAUUAGAUACCCCAGUAGUCCCUGUCUCUUAUAC
rnacentral:rRNA from 1 species